UACGUAGGCAGCGAGCGUUGUUCGGAGUUACUGGGCGUAAAGCGUGCGUAGGCGGUUGUCUAAGUUUGGUGUGAAAUCUCCCGGCUUAACUGGAAGGGUGCGCCGAAAACUGGGUGACUGGAGUGUCGGAGAGGUAAGCGGAAUUCCUGGUGUAGCGGUGAAAUGCGUAGAGAUCAGGAGGAACACCUGUGGUGUAGACAGCUUACUGGACGAUAACUGACGCUGAGGCACGAAAGCGUGGGUAGCAAACAGG
rnacentral:rRNA from 1 species